GCUAAACAGGAGUGCCCGGGCCCAGCUGUUGCAUUGUAUUGCUUUUAUUCACACCAGAUGUUACCCGUCACCACACUGUAGAAUUACCAACCCAGUGCGGCUCAUGUACCAGGUGGUAAUUUGGCUCCCAAGUGUAAUGAAGGCAGCAGACAUUGUGUUCAUGUACUGCCUUGUAAGCUACAUACCAGACAGAUGGACAGUGAAGCCCAAAAGGAAGAGAGAGUCUGGACUGGAACAGAAGUAAACUCUGUCAGGCAUGAGUGACAAGGCAACAUCAGACAGUGUGCUGCUCCACUGCUCAAGAAAGACACCAUGGUAUUAUAUGCAAAAAUACAGGUCGGAAGGAAAAUCGAAAUACAAGCAGCAAGUGAAGCAUUUUAACCUUGCAGCCAUCUUCUAAACAAAAAAACAAAGUAUGAACGUAAUUCGCACAUCACACUCCACACACAAGCCCCAAGUUCUUUUGUUUUACCCAAUUUUAUUUUCACUUUGAGCUGUUUUCCCCUGGCUGUAGCACAACACUGAGUUUAACAGUCUGCUUUUAUCUAUUCUGAAUGUAUUUCAGAUCACUGAAUGCCUUUUCAAGGCUUGUUCAGGAAUCAAAGACAUAUAGAAAGCAACAUAUAACCGUGGUAUGUCAUUCAAUACAUCACUAAUUGGUUGUGACUCAUAAAAGGGCCACAAUGGAUUGUACUGCUCUAUUAAUUGCCCUAGUAAACGCCACAUGUGCUGUGCAGUACGGGCAACAGUGCAGGACAGAUGGAACAAACAUUGGAGAGCCAACUCAAAUCCACGGUCUAUUUUUUAUAAGGAUGCAGUCUAGCGUAGUUUGAGUCCCAGAAACAAAAUCCAACUGCUCAUUUAAAAAACGAGUUCACUGAGCCUCGACAGAAAAGCUUGCUUAUGCCAUCUGCGACAGAGCAGAAGAGAGUUUAAUAAACUGAACUUGUCUUGUUAGUACGCCAUCACUUUUCCCAAGUGAAAACUAUUAUAGAUUUGGCACUGCUGUCCAAGUUUACCAGUAAAUCGUAUACUUUGCUCACAUAUCAAAUGCUACGGCAGUUGAUUUGUCAUUUUCUUCAUCCCUAUCAGAAGGUUCUCUCUUGUUUUCUUGUAACAUGGCAUGUUUGUUAAAGUUUAAUUGUGUCGCUCAACACCAUAGCAUGUGACCUCGGACUUGCCUACAGUAGUUAAGCUCUAAAGCUCAGCUCAUACAUCACAAAGUUGCUUCCAUUUUAAUUAUGGCGACCACAGAGUUCAUCAUACCAGCUGGAUCAGGACUGUGUUCAUAUUUUCUCCCUGUUUUGUGCAAAUUCAUCACUUGCAGAUUUAUGCAGUAACCUUAACUGAAACUAAAUGAAUGCUCAAACGUUGUGCCGUAUUUUUCAGACAACCACUUGGACAUACUGAUAGAGACAUUUAUUAGAUGAAAUUGUUUAGAAAUGUGGAACGAGGAAUGAAUGACAACUGUCUAGCACAGACACCAUCACGCUCUUAUCCCUGCUUCACAAAUGAGACCACAGCUGAAUGAAUUACACUGGAUGCUGAGAGCCCUAAAUAAAAGUGACAACGAAGUCUUUGUAUAAUAAACAUUCUAUUUUCUC